GUCGAACGGUAACAGGUCUUCGGAUGCUGACGAGUGGCGAACGGGUGAGUAAUACAUCGGAACGUGCCCAGUAAUGGGGGAUAGCUCGGCGAAAGCCGGAUUAAUACCGCAUACGCCCUGAGGGGGAAAGUGGGGGACCGCAAGGCCUCACGUUAUUGGAGCGGCCGAUGGCUGAUUAGCUAGUUGGUAGGGUAAAGGCCUACCAAGGCGACGAUCAGUAGCUGGUCUGAKAGGACRAUCAGCCACACUGGGACUGASACACGGCCCASACUCCUACGGGAGGCAGCAKUGGGGAAUUUUGGACAAUGGGGGAAACCCUGAUCCAGCAAUGCCGCGUGUGCGAAGAAGGCCUUCGGGUUGUAAAGCACUUUUGUCAGGRAARAAAUCCUUUGGGCUAAUACCCUAGGGGGAUGACGGUACCUGAAGAAUAAGCACCGGCUAACUACGUGCCAKCAGCCGCGGUAAUACGUAGGGUGCAAGCGUUAAUCGGAAUUACUGGGCGUAAAGCGUGCGCAGGCGGUUGUGUAAGACAGGUGUGAAAUCCCCGGGCUUAACCUGGGAAUUGCAUUUGUGACUGCACGACUAGAGUGUGUCAGAGGGGGGUGGAAUUCCACGUGUAGCARUGAAAUGCGUAGAUAUGUGGAGGAACACCAAUGGCGAAGGCAGCCCCCUGGGAUAACACUGACGCUCAUGCACGAAAGCGUGGAGGAGCAAACAGGAUUAGAUACCCUGGUAGUCCACGCCCUAAACGAUGUCAACUAGUUGUUGGGGAUUUACUUCCUUGGUAACGUAGCUAACGCG
rnacentral:rRNA from 1 species